CCUACGGGAGGCAGCAGUGGGGGAUAUUGCACAAUGGUGGGAACCCUGAUGCAGCGACGCCGCGUGGGUGAAGAAGCGCCUCGGCGCGUAAAGCCCUGUCUGCAGGGAAGAAAAUGACGGUACCUGCAGAAGAAGCCGCGGCUCACUACGUGCCAGCAGCCGCGGGAACACGUAGGGGGCAAGGGUGAUCCGGAUUUACUGGGUGUAAAGGGGGCGCAGACGGCGAUGCAAGCCAGGAGUGAAACCCCGGGGCCCAACCCCGGGACUGCUCUUGGAACUGCGUGGCUGGAGUGCAGGAGGGGCAGGCGGAAUUCCUGGUGUAGCGGUGAAAUGCGUAGAUAUCAGGAGGAACACCGGUGGCGAAGGCGGCCUGCUGGACUGAAACUGACGUUGAGGCCCGAAAGCGUGGGGAGCAAACAGGAUUAGAUACCCGAGUAGUC
rnacentral:rRNA from 1 species